rnacentral:rRNA from 1 species
AUUCCAGCUCCAAUAGCGUAUAUUUAAGUUGUUGCAGUUAAAAAGCUCGUAGUUGGAUUUCGGGUGGGUACCGCCGGUCUCCCUUCGGGUAUGUACUGGCGUGGCCCGCCUUGCUGUCGGGGACGGUCUCCUGGGCUUUAUUGUCCGGGAAUCGGAGUCGACGAUGUUACUUUGAGUAAAUUAGAGUGUUCAAAGCAAGCCUACGCUCUGAAUAUAAUAGCAUGGGAUAACACGACAGGACUCUGGCCUAUCGUGUUGGUCUGUAGGACCGGAGUAAUGAUUAAGAGGGACAGUCGGGGGCAUUCGUAUUCCAUUGUCAGAGGUGAAAUUCUUGGAUUUAUGGAAGACGAACAUCUGCGAAAGCAUUUGUCAAGGAUGUUUUCAUCA